rnacentral:lncRNA from 1 species
AUAUGCUUCAAUGGUGUUGUGUUUUGAAGUGUGAAAUGCAAAGUAAUUGUGAUAAAGUCAAGAUAAAGUUCACUUUUAAACUGAACUAAAUAAGGUAUCUGAGAGACAACAAUGGUUAAAUGCAAUACAAUGUACAGGUUUUACUAGCGAAAUGAAAAUUUUCCUGUCCUGUCUGCUGUAAUAAUUUUAUAUCUGGAAAACCAGCCGACUUAAUAGAUAUAACAAUCUCCAGAUUGGGUUCCUUCAAUAAAUAUGGGCUAUAAACAAUGAAAUAAGUUCCCCAAAAUCUAAAAUGGAGUGCUAUCAAAGGAGAAUUAAAGGAAAAAA